UUCACUAAUUUACAGUUUAAAAAAAACUGCUCAUUAGUGAACGACAGAGGGCGCAGUGCAAACGUUUUCGAAGCGUCGUUUUCCGAUACCCACGUUUGUCAAGUAAACAGUCAACAUGAAUGUCCCUCCAAAUCAGACGAUUUACAUCAACAAUUUGAAUGAGAAGAUCAAAAAAGAUGAGUUGAAGAAAUCCCUCUACGCCAUCUUCUCUCAGUUUGGUCAGAUCCUUGACAUCGUUGCCUUGAAGACGCUCAAGAUGAGGGGACAGGCAUUUGUCGUCUUCAAGGACAUCAACAGCGCCACCAACGCCCUCAGGUCCAUGCAGGGAUUUCCCUUCUACGAGAAGCCCAUGAGAAUACAGUACGGCAAGUCGCAAUCGGACGCAGUGGCCAAGCUGCAAGGCACGUUCGUCCCCAGAGAAAAGCGGCCUGAAAAGAGGAAGCCAGAUCCUGCGCCAGUUCAAACCAAGAAGAGCAAGAAGCAGGAGGCUGCCAAGCAGAAUGCCCUGGCGGCCGCCAUGAGCCAAGGCCCUCCCCCCAUGAUGGGACAGAUGCCCCCCAACAUGAUGGGACAACCCCCACCCAUGCAGAUGCAACAACCACCAGCUAUGCCUCUUCCAGACCAGCCUAACGCCAUUCUUUUCCUCACCAAUCUGCCGGAGGAAACAAACGAGAUGAUGUUGAAGAUGCUCUUCACGCAAUUCCAGGGUUUCAAGGAAGUGCGACUCGUACCCGGUCGUCACGACAUCGCCUUCGUGGAGUUCGAGAACGAGACGCAAUCGGGAAUAGCCAAGGAGGCCCUACAGGGAUUCAAGAUCACGCCAACGGCAGCCAUGAAGAUCUCAUACGCCAAGAAAUAAAACAGAAACGUCGGCUGCGAUUCUUUGUCAACGGGAGAGGAACUCUUCAAAGUGUACCGGAGAGACUGUGCAUUUUGUUACUGCAGCCUUGACUGGCACUGCAAAUAGGCCUGUGUUAAACACAGUGGAGGCCUCAAGUUGUCGGCUUUCAUUCUUUACUUGACAGUUUUGCUCCUGUAAGAAAAAAAAAGGUGAAUAUCUUGGACACAUUAUGAUUCUUGGCAUGUCAAAUUUUUUUUUUCUGAUAAUGUUGAAAAUUAUGAAAGAAAAAAAAAGGUUAUGGAUAUUUACUUUAACAGAAAAAAAGUUUGUUAGUUUAAAAAGUACACAACAGGGGGAAACUUGUAAAUAUAAAAUUGAUUUGAAAACUAUUUCUAUUUUGACUUAAAUGCGGGCGUGCAACUUUUCCUCGGAUCCGCUAAUUUCCUCGUUUUUAACUUCUCAUGAAGGCCAUUACAAAUUGAAAAAUACUGUUCAAAAUCUUGUGUGGUUUGAAAAUUCCUCGGUUUUUUUCCUUCUAAAAUUCCUAGUUGUAUGCCUGUUAUUGAAAAAGUAUUAUUUGUCUUUGCAUUGGAACAAAAAAGUUUUCCGUUACAAAAUGACUGACUGAUUGUCAAGAGGCCCACCAUACCUGGGCAUAUUUUGUUUUGAUGUUGUGUUCUCUGGUUGUCGAUGCGGCAUUGCACCCACCGUGCAUUGACAAUCAUCUUGUUUGCAGAUUGGCUGGUGGGCGGCCCACGGCUGCUUCAUCGCGAAGGGCUACGGCUAGCAUAACAAUCAUCCAAAUUAUAGGAAGGUAUACAUGGUGAGGUAUCUAUGGGUAACGGUCUAUG
rnacentral:misc_RNA from 1 species